CCCUUAGAUGUUCUGGGCUGCACACGUGCUACACUGAGUGGAUCAGCGGGUCAGGUUGCGCGAAAGUGUUUCCUAAUCUUGAAAUCCGCUCGUGAUGGGGAUUGACGGUUGCAAUUUUCCGUCAUGAACGAGGAAUACCUUGUAAGCGCGGGUCAUCAUCCCGCGCUGAAUACGUCCCUGCCCUUUGUACACACCGCCCGUCGCUCCUACCGAUUGAGUGGUCCGGUGAGGCUUUGGGAUCUGAGCGGAAAGAGCGUUUCGCUGUUUCUGCUCGGAAAACUCAGUCGAACCUUAUCAUUUAGAGGAAGGAGAAGUCGUAACA
rnacentral:rRNA from 1 species